rnacentral:rRNA from 1 species
UCUGGUUGAUCCUGCCUGAACUGAUGUGUUUGUUUCAAAGAUUAAGCCAUGCAUGUCUAAGUAUAAACGAUUUUAUCGUGAAACCGCGAACGGCUCAUUAAAUCAGCUAUUAUCUACUUGAUUUUGACACAAGUUACUUGGAUAACUGUGGUAAUUCUAGAGCUAAUACAUGCGCUAAAGCUCUGACCUAGCGGAAAGAGUGCAUUUAUUAGAGCAAAACCAAGCGGCUUUGGUCGUGUUUUGCUGACUCAGAAUAACUUAGCUGAUCGCACGGUCUAUGAACCGGCGACGUGUCAUACGAGUAUCUGCCUUAUCAAUUGUCGAUGGUAGUGUAUUGGACUACCAUGGUGUUGACGGGUAACGGAGAAUUAGGGUUCGACUCCGGAGAAGGGGCCUGAGAAAUGGCCACUACGUCUAAGGAUGGCAGCAGGCGCGCAAAUUACCCACUCUCGGAAAGAGGAGGUAGUGACGAGAAAUAACGAGACCGUUCUCUUAAUGAGGCCGGUUAUCGGAAUGGGUACAAUUUAAACCCUUUAACGAGUAUCUAUGAGAGGGCAAGUCUGGUGCCAGCAGCCGCGGUAAUUCCAGCUCUCAAAAUGCAUAGAACCAUUGCUGCGGUUAAAAAGCUCGUAGUUGAAUUUAUGCCAGAGACUUGGUCCGCUCAUUGAGUGUGUACUAGGUUCUUUGGCUUUUCGUCGGUUUUCUUGUUGUUUGCCUUUAUUGGCAGCUGCAAGUGGCUGACAAUUUUACUUUGAACAAAUCAAAGUGCUCAAAACAGGCGUUUUGCUUGUAUGUUUUUGCAUGGAAUAAUAGAAUAAGACUUCGGUCUAGUUUUAUUGGUUUUAUAGAUCGUUGUAAUGAUUAAAAGAGACAAACGGGGGCAUUCGUAUUGUUGCGUGAGAGGUGAAAUUCUUGGACCGCAGCAAGACGUCCUACAGCGAAAGCAUUUGCCAAGCUUGUCUUCAUUAAUCAAGAACGAAAGUCAGAGGAUCGAAGGUGAUCAGAUACCGCCCUAGUUCUGACUGUAAACGAUGCCAACUAGCGAUUCGCCGGAGGAACUUUUGCCCUGGCGAGGAGCUUCCCGGAAACGAAAGUCUUCCGGUUCCGGGGGAAGUAUGGUUGCAAAGCUGAAACUUAAAGGAAUUGACGAAGGGCACCACCAGGAGUGGAGCCUGCGGCUUAAUUUGAC